rnacentral:rRNA from 1 species
UGAGGAAUAUUGGUCAAUGGGUGCAAGCCUGAACCAGCCAUCCCGCGUGAAGGACGACUGCCCUAUGGGUUGUAAACUUCUUUUGUAUAGGGAUAAACCUACCCUCGUGAGGGUAGCUGAAGGUACUAUACGAAUAAGCACCGGCUAACUCCGUGCCAGCAGCCGCGGUAAUACGGAGGGUGCAAGCGUUAUCCGGAUUUAUUGGGUUUAAAGGGUCCGUAGGCGGACUUAUAAGUCAGUGGUAAAAGCCUGUCGCUUAACGAUAGAACUGCCAUUGAUACUGUAAGUCUUGAGUAUAUUUGAGGUAGCUGGAAUAAGUAGUGUAGCGGUGAAAUGCAUAGAUAUUACUUAGAACACCAAUUGCGAAGGCAGGUUACCAAGAUAUAACUGACGCUGAGGGACGAAGGCGUGGGGAGCGAACA